rfam:Spinach yellows virus partial sequence, isolate K-2419
GAAACACAGCCGGCAAAUAAACUUAAAAUAAGUAGGUUGCAAGAUCGGAGUGUACAAGUCCUACAACAG